UCCCUCAUCCAGUUGGUUCUUGAGAAAACAGUACAUGGGAAGUAAAAAGAAAAAAGUAAAAACUGCAUAUCUUUAUUGUAUCUUCAAAUUUGAACAAUAAUUUGGCUCAGACCAAUUUCCAUGGAAUGUUGUCUCCAUUAUCUUCUCUCUUCCAAUGGCACUUCUUGAGAAAUUUGAUGUUAUUCUUAUUCCUUUCCUUUGUGAAUGCCCUGUUUUCCUCUCGGGAAGCUUUCAGGAUCUUCUCUUUAUGCCUGGCUCUGGAGUUGGGGAGUAGGGGAUGCUAUACAGUACCUAGAUCCCCCUUCAGAAAUGCAGGACUUACUCCGCCAGCUUCUGGGAAUGCUGCUAUGACCUUCAGCUGUCAGCUGUCUUUGGGGAACACCUUAGCUGAAGAAGUACCAGCCUGUACACAACUGACAAUGCGGUGGUCUGAAGACCCAGCUCCCUCACCUCAAUUGGCAACAAUUCUGAAGGCCCAACCAGCUCUAUAGCUCCCUAUGGGUGGUCACCUGAGGUAUUCACUGGGUCUGCAUCAGAGUCCAACUUCUUCCUCUGACCAGUCCUGUUUCCUUCCCCUUCCUUCCACAGGUGUUGAUCCCAAGAGCACUCUAGUAAGUGUCCUGCCUGCAACUCUCCAUCUCAGAGUUUGCGUCCCUGAGAAUCCAAUUUGCAGCUACAAGGUGCCUUGCUGACAAGCCAUUUUGUUCCCGUGGGAGAAUGCUGCAAUCAGUGGACAUUGUGGCUUAUGGCUUCAGAUACCAUGGCACCCACUCAAAUGAAAGCUGAACAUUUCUGCACAAGAGGUUCUGGUAAAUAUUGGGAGAGAAACAAUUGGAGAGAGAGAGAGAGAGAGAGAGAGAGAGAGAGAGAGAGAAAAGGAAGGAAGAAAGAAAGAAAGAAAGAAAGAAAGAAAGAAAGAAAGAAAGAAAGAAAGAAAGAAAGAAAGAGAAAGAAAGAUUCUGUCUAAUGGUUUUCAUUUCUGACAAAGAUUUUGUAUUUAACUCUAUUGCCAGCAAAACUCGUGUCAUAUUGGGAAGAUUCCUUCUCUCUGGGCCGCAAUUUUUCCUUUGUACAAAUUAAAGGGUUAAAAUAAAUAAA